AGAGAUCGUAACCAUUUUCGAAAAUUAAUGUAUUCAAGAUUUGCUACACGUGUGAAACGGUUCCUUCGAUAGUCCACGUUUUAAUGGAGUCUCUGUUGAACACUGAGUUUGAGAGUUCGAUAAAUUCCCAAGCUUCGGGGAAAGAAGAAAUUCCUAAAGUUUGUUAAGUGAGAAACGCAGUAGGACUCGUCUUUGCAAGCCUCUGGACCAUUUAACUGGCCCGAAGAACAACUGUCAACCGUGGUUCAAAGCCGUUGAUAAAAGCCAAAAGAGUACACGUUACGAGCAAAGCGAAG